rnacentral:rRNA from 1 species
CCUACGGGAGGCUGCAGUGGGGAAUAUUGCACAAUGGGCGCAAGCCUGAUGCAGCCAUGCCGCGUGUGUGAAGAAGGCCUUCGGGUUGUAAAGCACUUUCAGCGGGGAGGAAGGCGUUAAGGUUAAUAACCUUGUCGAUUGACGUUACCCGCAGAAGAAGCACCGGCUAACUCCGUGCCAGCAGCCGCAGUAAUACGGAGGGUGCAAGCGUUAAUCGGAAUUACUGGGCGUAAAGCGCACGCAGGCGGUCUGUCAAGUCGGAUGUGAAAUCCCCGGGCUCAACCUGGGAACUGCAUUUGAAACUGGCAGGCUAGAGUCUUGUAGAGGGGGGUAGAAUUCCAGGUGUAGCGGUGAAAUGCGUAGAGAUCUGGAGGAAUACCGGUGGCGAAGGCGGCCCCCUGGACAAAGACUGACGCUCAGGUGCGAAAGCGUGGGGAGCAAACAGGAUUAGAUACCCCGGUAGUC